UUUCUCUGUUUCUUUCUGUCCAGCUGACUUGGCUGUUGGAGAAACUGGGGUAUUGAAUUCACAUAGAAUUAACAGUUCCUAUGCUCAUUUCUCUCUUCAGUCUGAAAUAUAACUUCCUGUAUCAGAAACAGAAGGCUGUUGCACAUGUAAUUGAAAGAGGGGCCCAUGUUCCAGCCCUGGCAAGAAGCAGAACUUGACAGCUUUGGCUUUAAAGUCAAGGAUAUAAGAAAGAGGUUAUGGAAUUUCCCACUGCAACUAAGGAAAGCUACUGAGGCCAGGCAUAUGUCAGGGUUGUUCCUGCAUGGAGUCUCAGAGAGGCCUUUGCACAUGAAGGUGUGAAGAUGGAGCCUGGAUUGCCUUGGAGACCUCCAAGAUGUUGGAGAUAUCAGAGCCGUGGGAUACCUGCCAAGGAGAGCUGCAGACUGGGUGUGGACCAGCCGUAGAGAGAGAAGUGUGCUGCAGUUAACAGACCUGAAAGGAGUGGAGAUCAAAGAGUGUUUUGACAUCAAACAUGAAGAUGCAGAGUUUGAAGUUUGCCCAGAUGGUUUUCUGUCUUUUCUGGUCCAGUAUUUCCUCACUAUGCUCCUCUCCCUCCAUUUUUUAAUAGUAAUGUAUAUGCUGUGCCAUUGUAUGUUGGAAGUAUGUGACCUGCUUUUUGAUUUUGAUUUUAUUGGGAGAUUACAGUUAAGAGACUGCCUUGAGUCUCAGAGGGGAUUUUGAACUUUGGACUUUUAAACAGUGUUGAGACUGUGAUAGACUAUGGGGACUUUUGAAGUUGGACUAAGUGCAUUUUGUAUUAUAAUAUAGUCAUAAACUUAUGGGGGCCAGAAAAAGGAAUGUAGUGGUUUGAAUAAGAAUGGCCCCAUAGCUUCAUAAACUUCAAUGCUUAGUCAUCAGAGACUGGCACUAUAUGAAAGGAUUAGGAGGUGGGGUCUUGUUGGAGGAAGUGUGUCACAGGGGUGGGCUUUGAGUUUUCAAAAGCCUAAGCCUGGACCAGUAACUCUGUCUUCCUGCUUUUUCAGAUCCAGAACUCUCAGCUGCCAUAUAUGCCUGUGUGCUGCCAAGUUUCCCACCAUGAGGAUAAUGAACUAAACCUCUAAAACUAACUGAGGAUUCCCUUCAUCAUCUUCUAUGGAGGGAUCUGUCCCAGGGCCUGACCCAUACUAAGGAAGUGAGUUACAAACCCAGGAUUCCAACACACUGCAAAGAGGCAUUUGGUCAGCAAUAAAGAAACUACUCAUCCAAUGUAGUUGAGUGGUAGAGCACUAUCCUUGCAUGCAUGAGGACCUGAGUUCAAUCCCUAGAAUCAGAUGUUACAACUUUCUUCCAAAAAGAUCCACGAGCUUUGAGAGACGGCCCUGAGGAAGACAUGCCACUUAGAAUUGAGUGCUCCAGAGUGUCUCAUUCUCCGCACGUUUCCCAGUUGUGGCGCUCUGUGUUCAUUCCCAUCUACUCUAAGAAGUGUCUGGAGAGCUGUGAGUGGGACACUGAUCUAUGCCCUCCUGUGCCUGCGGUAUCCAGCAUACACCUGACCCAUCGAGGUCUCCAUGGUCUUCGUUAUAAAGGAUAGCCUUUCAGUCAAGAUGGCUGAGGUUAUAAGCAGCUCUUUCUUCUUCAGGUAUGUGCUCCAGGAACCCAGUUCAAGUCAUCGGGACAAGCAACAAGUAUUUUUCACUGCUGAGACAUCUCUUCAGCCACCAAAGCCUGGCUCUUACAAUGUGCAAAAUUGGAUGUAACAGUCUCAGCUACUGCCUGCCGACAUGCCUGUCUGCUUCUCACCAUGAUGAUAAUGGACUAAUCGUCGGAAACUGUAAACAAGUCCCCAGUUAAAUGAUGUUUUUAUAAGUCUUGUCUUGCUUGUGGUGUCUCUUCACAAUAAUAGAACAGUGACUAAGACAAAGAUACAGUCCCCAAAAUUAUUCCCUCUGAGCAAAUUUGACUUAAUUAUGAAAAAAAAACUUAAAAAAAGAAAAAGAAAUAUUUUUUUAUUCUUUCCCAAAACCAAGAGUACUUAGAAUGCACGGGAAAACAGUGUUUUGAGAACCUGGAGUCUAGCUCUCCUUCCCAGACAAAGCUGUGCUCCCAGCGAACAUCCGUGUGCACCGCGACCCCUGCUGGACAUGUUCUUCUCUGCAGUCACCUCACAAACAGCAGGAAAAGAGGCUCUGGACAAGGCACAGCACAAGGUCAGGGACUCAGCUCUGCCCUCUAGGGGAUGAAUGGAGCCAGGCACGAUCUCCAGAGGAGCCCCUGAGACAAACUGGACAAGAAGCAGAAACCCAGCUACGUGGAGCCAGUUGGCACCUGCAUCUCAGCCCUCAGAAACACCAUUCUCUACUGGAACAGUGAAACUGGUCCUGGAGGAUUAAGACUCUAAUGACGGCAUCCGUGAGAGAAACUCGCUGCCCUGAGUCUCUUGUGCUGUCUUCCUGCCGUGGCUCCCAUAGUUGCCUCAGCUCCCAAGACAAAUCAGGAAACUGUUUAGAAAGGGGAUCAGAUUGGAGAAUCUGGGAGGGGAAACUGGAGGGAGGAAAUAGGAGAAGGAGAAGGAAGGAAGGUAGAGAAGAGAGUGGAUGAAAUCUUCAUGUUCCACUCCGGGAAGCCAUGAUUGCAACCCAUCCCUUCAUUUAGAUCCCUCCCCAGAAUACCUAACAGCUUGGGUUGUAUUUGAUUCUAGACAUGGCCAAAUUGACAACUAAGACUACCAUCACAAUACCCAUGGUGAAUGGUUAAAUCCUAUCCUUACCUUGAAAUGUAAAAGAAUUCUUCUUCAUCGUAAUUCAGUUUACUGCUCUGGUGUCUUCACCACUUAAACUUUCGACCAAGGACUGUCUCCUUUCACCAAAUUUGAAUCGGGGGCUUUCUGUAAUCUUUUUCCCCAUGAUUCCCCAACAUUAGGCUUAUUCAUUAGUUCAGUGCCUCUUCAGUUUUGAACCCACAUAUGUAGCAUGGGUGUGGCGACCUGACUGUAAUCCCGAUGCUCAGAACCAACAUAAACUUCCAUAUCGCCAGGCAGUGGUGGCGCAAGCCUUCAAUCCAGCACUCAGGAAGCAGAGACAGGCAGAUCUCUGUGAGUUUGAGGUCAGCCUGGUCUACAGAGCGAGUUCUAGGACAGGCUCCAAAGCUACAGAGAAACCCUAUCUCGAAAAAAAUCAAUAAAUAAAUAACUUCCAUAUCAAGACAGCUAACAAGACUAGCCAAAUCAUUGAGUCAUUGAGUUCUGACUUUAGUUGAGAGAUCCUGUCUCAGUAUAUUAAAAAGCAACUAAGAAAUACACUGGACAUCAAUAUCUAGCCUCUACAUAGACCUACAUACAAAUGUAGUCACACCCAAAAUGUUUUGGUCACACAUUUGCAAACUCACAUUAUACAAAUGUGUGGGCCAAAUCGAGCAUAUAGCAGGCUGGAGGGGCCAAGUUAAUGUCAAAAACAGUGACAGUUAGAAAAAGGCAUAGUUACACCAAAAGUGUGACAGCUAAUAAAAGGCACGAAAUUCAAAAAACAGUGACCUUACAAAACCUGCGAGAAAUAUUCCCAGCCAAGACGGUGCUGAAGGGGAGCAAGCAGGGAGACCUGACUUGUUUACAGAAAGAUGAUUGGAGUUAGAGAUGGGGUAAGAUGACCUAAAGUCCCUGAUGCCCUCGUGCUCCCCAUUAGGGGUUAUAGGAUCCUGGCUCACGCAGAUGUGACCGUUGAUGUGAUUGGCUAAUUCCCCUUCAAUUUCCAGGAUUUGUGAGUUUUUGCUUUAUAAGUUGCAUGCUGUAAGGAAAUGAACAAGUUCCUGCUUGACUCGACUCCCCGCUGCACUGCAUCUGAUUGUCUCUGAGACCUGGAGGCCGGGGGGGGGGGGAUCUACAGAGGAACCCCACACACAUGCAUGUGAUAAAAAAAAGUAUCAUGAAGAAUCGUUUAUUUUUCUGUAA